UACGAGGGGGGCGAGCGUUGUUCGGAAUUAUUGGGCGUAAAGGGUGCGUAGGCGGUUCCGCAAGUCCUGUGUGAAAUCUUCGGGCUCAACUCGAAGUCUGCACGGGAAACUGCGGGGCUUGAGUGUGGGAGAGGUGAGUGGAAUUCCCGGUGUAGCGGUGAAAUGCGUAGAUAUCAGGAGGAACACCGGUGGUGUAGACGGCUAUCUGGACCGUAACUGACGCUGAGGCACGAAAGCGUGGGGAGCGAACAGG
rnacentral:rRNA from 1 species